GACCUUGCGGUGAAAGUUCAUAUUGAGUUGCAAGCUCAUUGAUGUGCAUUAAGAGUGCGCCGAGGUCU
rnacentral:tRNA from 1 species